UCUAACCAUGACUUCCUGGCUCAUAGGUCAAGGCUCAACCACUGAGCCACUCUGGCCCAGCCUCAUAAGCUUUUGGACUUAGGGUUGAUACAAUAUUGCUGGAAGGCAACUGGGCAAUAUCUGUCAACUACUUCAAUGCACGUACUACUGAUCCAGCUACUCCACCUCUAACGUCUCCUCCUGCAGCAACCUGCAUGCGUGUGCACAGACACAGGCGCCAUGUUUUCUGCGGCACUGUUUGCAACAGGAAAGAAGUGGGGAGGGGAACGUAAUUAUUGGUAAGAGAUUUGAUAACUAAAUAAUGAUGGUGAAUACUCUGCAGCUAUUAACAAUGAUAAUCCAGUCGAACCAGAAAGAUGUCCAUGAUAUAUCAUGAUGUGAGUGGAAACAACAAUAAUCUGUAGAUAAAUGUGUGUGGCCUCAUCCCACUCUGGUUAAAAAAAAAUCACAAUAUUACGUAUCCGUACAAAGAGGCCCAGAGUGAUUGAUGCCAAGCUGUGAAAAGUGAUGCCUUCAGAGGAGGAUUCAAGGGAGGGCUCCAAGGAGAAGGGUGGG